AUACGUAGGGGGCGAGCGUUAUCCGGAAUUAUUGGGCGUAAAGAGUACGUAGGCGGUUCUGUAAGCGUGAGGUGAAAGCCCGGGGCUUAACUCCGGUAAGCCUUUCGAACUGCAGGACUUGAGUGCUGGAGGGGAAAGUGGAAUUCCUAGUGUAGCGGUGAAAUGCGUAGAUAUAAGGAAGAACACCAGUGGCGAAGGCGGAUUACUGGACGACAACUGACGGUGAGGCGCGAAAGCGUGGGGAGCAAACAGGAUUAGAUACCCUGGUAGUCCACGCUGUAAACGAUCAAUACUAGGUGUGCGGGGACUGACCCCCUGCGUGCCGCAGUUAACACAAUAAGUAUUGCACCUGGGGAGUACGAUCGCAAGGUUGAAACUCAAAUGAAUUGACGGGG
rnacentral:rRNA from 1 species